UCUUUCAGAUGUAGUUGUAAGCUUAAAUGACCCUCAGUCCUGCAGCAUAUCAACUUGAUGUGUAUAAUUGAUUGCUAAACAUUUUUUACAGCCUGCUAAAUGUUCUCCAAAACAAUUUGAUGGCGCUCCUUCAAUAUCAAAUGGAACAGGAGGAUGGCUGCUGAUGAAAGAUAAGAACAGCUGAAAGAGGCGGUGCAAAUGCAAGUCAACUACCAUCUUCAGCUCAGCAGAUUAAGACUUCCUUGAAUAGUAUGCAAGAAAAUUAUGAAGAGUCCUUCAAAGCAUGAUUUCAGUGGUAACUCCAGAAGCUGAAGGGACAGUGCCUGUGGGACAUGGAUUUAGAAACUCCAGUGGUACUGUUUCAAAUGUCAAACUUGUUAACUGUAGAAAUAAAGAUUGA